AUUAGGUCCGAGCAGCUAAGUGCUGUGAAGGCCUAUUGUAAUCAUAGUGCCGAUUAUUAUUCUGAUUCCGCUUCCGUCAAAUGAAUUGGCUUUUGGAGGCUUUUUUUUUUUUUUUUGCACAUUUUUAUUGACAGUUUUUCCAUACAAGUGUACAUACAGACUAUUUUCUUUUUCCAAAUGUUCCAUACAUAUCAUUCAAGAAAAGCUGCACAUACAAUCUGUACCUGCCUUAGACAGUAACUUUGCUAGUCUAGAUAAUAUCCAAUCUAUCAAUUCACUUGUUGAUUAACAAAAGAAAAAGAAAGGAAAGAAAAAAAGUCAACAAAAAGAUCAUCCAAAAUUUUUUUUUCUUUUUCUCUGUUCUUCUCUUCCGAGUCAUCACAAUUUUAACUCUCUUCUCAUCGAAGGCGAACUGUAAGCAAACUAUUUACAGUCUGUAGCUCUAUAAGGGUUCCUGUAACCACACUAUUAAUCAAUAAAGUCUGAUCUCCAUGGUGAAAUAAAUCCCUGCCAAUUUUUCCUAUAAUUCUUAAAUUUUCCAGAAAGUCAGCCUUUCCAUAAUAUAAAUAUUAUAUUGCAUUACGUCAACCCAAUCUUCCCUUUUAGGAGCUUCUGCCUUCAGCCAUUUCCUAGUAAUGGCUUUUUUGCUUGCUACCAACAUAAUCCCAUACAUAUAUCUAUCACCUUGUGAACCUUUCCGACCCUCUUCCCAUGUACAGAACAUGAAAUGUAAGUGGAAUAUUCACCCCCAGUACCUUAUCCAUACCAGUCUUUACGUCCUGCCAAUAGGGUACCAUGAAGGCACAAUUCCACAAUACAUGGAAGUGACCCGCUCUGUCUUUUCCGCACUGCCUCCAGCAUUUUGUAUCUUGGUGUUUUCUUUGUGCUGGCGUACUGAAAUAUCUUACAAUAUUCUUCCAGCCAAACUCUCCACGAAAGGGAACAAGAUGUUUUCCACUGUUGCCCACAUAUCUCCUCCCAGUUCUCCUGCGAAAGCCCACAAUUGGCAUCUUUUUCCCAUCUUACUUUUAUGUAUGUUGUAUUACUUUUCUUCAAAUUUUCCAAUCCUGUAUACAGUUUUGGAAUUAUUUUCUUCCCCAAGUUUGAUUCAUUUGCUGAAAUAAACAUCUUAAUUAUACCAGAUUCAAACUCAUUUAAAUUUAUCCUUCUUAGUAGUUCCUCUGUAUAGUGCCUCAAAUGUAAGUACCUGUAGAGAUCCUUGUUGGUUAAUUCAUAUUUAUUCUUUAUUUCUUCAAAGCUUUGUAUAGUAUUUUUCUUAACCAUCUCCCAGAAUAUCUUUGGACCCUUUUCCCAUUUACUAAAUGUUUUGUCUGUUACAUUAGGUUUAAAAUCUGAGUCAUGCGUUAUCUACCUUAGUAGUCUACUCUGCUCUGUCUACCCAUAUCUUAAAAUAAUUUCAUUCCAUAUGUCAAGAGAUAAUCCUAGCCAUAGAUUCGACUCCUCCCUAAGGUGUUUUCUCAAUUUGUUAUCAUUUAUUAUGGCUUUUAGAGGUAUUGUGGGUGACAUAGCACAUUCUAUAUCUUUCCAUUUUGCAGUGUAUAAUGGAUUGCUUAUGUUCAGUAGAGUACUCAACUGUGCUGCAAAAUAGUAGCUCUUCAGACAGGGUAAGGCUAACCCCCCUUUAUCCUUUGAUACCUGCAAAGUUCUGAAUCUGACCCGUAGUUUUCUUCCUUGCCAAAUGAAUCUCGAUAUGAUUUUA